GACAGAGGCCUCGAGCGUUAGGCGGAAUCACUGGGCUUAAGGCGCGUGUAGGCGGAUCGUUAAGUGCCUUGUGAAAUCCUGCGGCUCAACCGCAGAACCGCCGGGCAUACUGGCGGUCUUGGGCCACUCAGGGGUCACUGGAACAAGCGGUGGAGCGGUGAAAUGCGUAGAUAUCGCGUGGAACGCCAAAGGUGAAGACAGGUGACUGGGGGUGUGCCGACGCUGAGACGCGAAAGCCAGGGGAGCAAACGGG
rnacentral:rRNA from 1 species